AUGUUUUUUUAAAAAAACAUUAGGAAGAACAUUCACAGUAGCUUUAUUUCUAAUAGCCCUACACUGGAAACAACUGAAAGGUCCAGCAACAGUUAGGAAGGUAGGCACAUUGUUAUGUAUCUAUGCCAUGGAAUAUCAUUCAGCCAUAAAAGGAGAUUACACAUAUUGAUGCAUGUAAUGAUGUGGAUAAAUCUCAAAAUGAUUAUGUUGAGGAAAGGAAGCCAGACACAAAAAUGUAUAUACCGUGGGUUCCAUUUAUAUGAAAUUAUAAACCAGACCAUGCUAAUUUACGGUGAUGGAAAUCGGAAUGGUGUUUGCCUCUGUGAAUGGUGGGAAUUGACUGGACAGGAUUCCAAUGAACUUUCUAGGGUGAUGGCAGUGUUCUAUAUUUUGAUUGAGGUAAUGAGUACACCCAGUGUAUACAAUGAUCAAAGUCAUAACAAUGCCUAAUGUCUGUGCAGCCCUUUUAUUGUAAAAUGUAAAUUAUACCUUCAGUCUUAAAAAUGUUUUCCUCAGCAGGACUCUUGAAGAAGUGAUGGCCUUCUUCCCUCAUCAUCUCCACCCUGGGUACACUCUUGUUCUGAAUCUCUUAAUACUCUACCUUUCUGGCCCGCACUUACACUUGAGUACCAAUGACUUUUAUAGGCUCAUGUCUUAGCUCCCCAGUAGGUGAAAGCAUCCUACAACAAAGUUAUGAUUGUAUUACUUCACUAUUCUUUACAACAAUGGUUGUCAACCUAGGCUGCAUAAUGUUGGACUCUCCCUGUGCCUUGGCUUGGGUCGCCAUAACAAAAUGCCAUAAACGAGGUGGCUGAAACAACAGAGAUUUAUUUUCUUACAGUUCUAGGAGCUGGAAGUCUGGGAUCAGGGUGUCAGCCUAUCUGGGUUCCUCUUGUUGGCUUGCAGAUGGCCAUCUUCUCACUGUGUCUCACAGCUCUCUGGUAUCUGUUCUUACAAGGAUACUAGUCCCAUCAUGAGGGCUCUGCCCUCAUGACGUCAUUUAAAUCUAAUUACCUCCCAAAAGCCUUGUCUCCAGAUACCAUCACAUAAGGGAUGAGGGUUUUAACAUAUGAAUUUGGGGGAACACAUUCAGUCCUUACCACUUGGGAAACAUUAAAAAAUCAUCUCCAGAAGUUCUCAUACAGUUGAUGUGAAUUGGAACCUGGACACGUAUAUUUCUCUGAGGUUCCUCUAUAAUGUGCACCCAGGAUUGGUGACCGUUGCUUUCUACCUUCCUGUUCAAGGUGAGGUCUAGGAAAUAGCAGCGUCAGCAUCACCUGGGACCUUCUUAAAAAUGCAAGAUCUCUGGUCCCAUCCCAGGCCUGUGAAUCCGACUCUGCAUGGUAACAGUAUCCCCUGCUGAUUCGUAUGCACCGUAAAGUCUGAAAAACACUGGUCUGCAGCCCCUUGCAUCGACUUGCAUACAGGUAUGAGAAUGCUCCAUCAAUCAUUUCCUGUUUGAAUUCAAGAUGAACAUUUUGCCAGCGAACCGAAUUUCACCUUUUUUCAUCUCGGAAGCCUGUCAAGUUGUGGAUCUUGCCUACAAAUAAUUGCACCGCCGUGUAAAGAUUUCAUAUAUAGCCUAUAUAUCAUUGUCUAUUAGCAAACAAAAAAGCAGCAAAAUAGACCCAACAUUAAAAACAAAAUCUUAAUGUUUUUGAAAAUACACGACCAUCCCAGCGAUUCCAUCACAAUGAAUGAUGACCUCCUUAGCUUCAGGUGAGCUUUAAAUUGAUAAUGAAAUUGAAUAUGUACUUGUGUUCCAGCCGCAGAAGAGAAGUGGCACUUAACACAGAGCAUGAAUCCUGUGUAACUAAUAAAUAAUUCAGUAAACCAGGGAAAGAAAAAACACACAAGCUUAAAUAAAUAGCAGAGAAUCCCUGAUGCUUAAGGUUGAGAAACAAGAGGAUUAUUAUAUAUGAUGCUAUUAGGUAGCACAGAGUGCUGGUUUUCAAAAGAGUUGAUUACGAUAAGUAUGCUUACUACUAAAAACAUAGGAAGGAAUGUAGUCUUACUCGGUAUUUCAGAAGGCAGUUCAAGGUCUUGUCAUCCAUCAAAAGCUUCGAUGUGGUCUUCAAUAUGAAUGUGGCUCAUGAAAGUACCAAACAAGAGAUUCCAUGCUGACAGACACUAAAAAUGAUGAAUUUCUACUUUUCCUGUUCAGAAGCACCUAAUGGGCACAGUUCUUUAUUUUUAAGGACUUUUCAUUUGAGUACCUUUAUGUUUAAAAUACCCUCUUAAUUCAGUAUGGGUGCGUUCUCAGACUCCAGUCUCAGGAAUGAUUUCUGCUUCUGGAAAUUGGUCUUCUCCUCAUUUUAUUUUCCAUCCCUACUUGAUAACUUCUUCUCUUUCAAAAAUUUGUUUUUUUAGUAUUUAUUUUUGAGAGAGAGAGAGGGAGCUCGAGUAGGGGAGGGGCAGAGAGAGAGGGAGACACAGAAUCCGAAGCAGGCUCCAGGCUUCGAGCUGUCAGCACAGAACCCGACGCGGGGCUGACUGAGCCACCCAGGUGUCCCGCUACUUGAUAACUUUUUCAUUGUUAAUGAUAUGAUGAAAUAGUUUGCUAAAUUAUAUCAAGAUGGCCAUUUGGUUUAGUUCAUAGCCCCCUUAUAUUCUGUGCAGUAAACUGAGAAUAAAAAGAACAGAUGCUAAUCUGUAGUAAGCACACAUACAGACAUACAUACCUACAAACUUUCAAAGAAGGGAACUUCAAUGAUGUUUUGUAUUUCAAUUCCAUUUCCCACAUGCUUCGGGCUGACAUUCAUCUAAUUACCAACCUGAUUCAACCCAACAUGUUUUUAUUGGAUGCCUAUUGUAUGUCCCACAGAAAUACACUCUGAAAUUAAAAAUCUUUUAAGUUGCAUGUACAUAAUGAAAGUUUAUGUUCCAGUGUUGCAAAUUAUUGAAUAAAGACAUUGCUGGUUCAGUAAAAAUCCGUUUAGAAGAGGUUUUCCCCCCUUCUACUUUCUAGAACAGUCUAGAAGAGAAUGGCAUUUCUCCCUUAAAUGUUAUAGAAGAAAGUGUCCUUUAUGUUCAUAAAAUAAUGCACAGCCAGAAUUGUUAAAUUUGCUUUUUUUCUUUCUAGCAAAAGAUAUUUUUCUCUUUGUAGUAAUCUUGUUAAAAAUAAAAAAAAUUUUUUAGCAUUUAUUCAUUUUUGAGAGUCAGAGAGAGACAGAACAUGAGCUGGGGAGGGGGGAGAGAGGGGGAGACACAGAAUCCGAAGCAGGCUCCAGGCUCUGAGCUGUCAGCACAGAGCCCGAGGCAGGGCUCAGACUCACAGACUGCGAGAUCAUGACCUGAGCCGAAGUCCGACGCUUAACCAACUGAGCCACCAGUUGCCCCUUUCUUUGUAGUAAUCUUUAGUGAAAAAUAAUAAAUAUACUUCUUAAAAAUAAUUGAAACCUUAGAGAAGGAUAUCCAAUGGAAAGUAAAUCCUCAUCUCUCAGAAAUGUUCUAUGUACAUACACAUAUGUUUUAUGUAUAACUGUAUCUUUCUGUUAAUAAUCACCUUAUUCCCUGCUUUUUUUCACAGGUGGAAGCAAAUCAAGUACUUUCUUGUACCUUGAUAUUUUUCACUUAGGUAACCCCAGAACGGAACAUAGAGGUCCGCUUUAGUUUUAGUGCUGCAUAGUAUUUCAGGUAUGGAUUUACCAUGCGCUAUCAAUAUAAAUGUAAGGUUUUCCAGGCUUUGGUAUUAUAUACAGUGUUCUAAUAAAUAAGGUUGAUCCGUCUUUGCACACAGAUGCUAGCUUAUCUGCAGAAUCGAAUCUUGGAAAUAAAGUUGUUGGGUUCAAGGAUACCUGCAUCCAUAAUUUUGAUAUAUAAUGCCAAAUUUCCCUUUGAAAACCUUGAACCAGUAUACAGCUUCCCUGCAGUGUUUGAGAGUGCCCGUAUGCCUGCCCAUACAUUAUUUUGACACUUCUUCCUUUCCCUAUUACAUCGCCAGUGUCUCCUCUCUACCGGACCACUCCAGCCUGAAUCCGACGUACUGUCGUUUCUUGCAUCUUAAAAGAAAGGAAAAAAAAGCUACUCAUUGAUUCCGCUGGUCCUCUCCCUCACUACCCCAUUUGUCUGUUCCCUUUUGUAGCCAAACUCCCAGAAAAAUGAUGUCUACGGUCUCUAACACUUCUGCUCAUCUUCUAGAAAGUUCUCCAGUGAGGACUUUCGGCCCCACCGCUCUGCCAAAACUGCUCUUGGCAAGUCACCAGGUAUCCAGUGGACAGCAGCUUAUCCAUCAAUAAGGAUCCCAUCCUCUCUCGAAAACAAAUCGAUUGAUCAUGUCAAAAGAUCUCAGCGGCUGGUCGUAAGGUAAAAUGUGCCCUCCACCUCGAACAAUUACCUUGGAGAAGAAACGUAAAAGAGAGAGACAGAGCGUGAGCAGGGGAGGAGCAGAGAGAGAGGGAGACACAGAAUCGGAAGCAGGCUCCAGGCUCCGAGCUGUCAGCCCAGAGCCCGCCGCGGGGCUCGAACUCACAGACCGCGAGAUCGUGACCUGAGCUGAAGUCGGAUGCCCAACUGACGGAGCCACCCAGGCGUCCCGAUGUACAACACAUUCUUAAACACCUAUAGUUAAGGUGAAUUCAGACCCUAGUGCUAGGUGCCAUACUAAUUUAAGAAAGGGGUGGGGUCAGGGUGGGGUACUGGUCUUUGUACUCAGAAAGACUGUAGGCUCAGCAGCAAGUGCCCCAAGUAGAGGACCAGGAGAGGCCUUCAUGAUUCAGUACCAAAAGGGAAAGAACUGACAGUGGGUGUUGGCAGGCCUCCCGCAUGGGGGAGUCAUUGUAGCCUGAGAUAUUCUAUGGCACAUGUGGCAACCGGACAGCGGCCAGUAGUGGAUGGAGUGAGGGAUCCCAUUCAGCGCGUUCUAGCUGCUAAGUCACAAUCGGCAAGUAAGGACCACUUUGACGAGGCCCUUCGUAGCGUGUUUUACCUGUCUCAAUUAAGAAGGGAACGGAGGCAGAAAAAGAGUACAGAUAUAUUUCCGUAGUGCAUUUAUUAUAUUACAAAUCCACCCCCAGCCCCCAGCAUCUUACAACCUUGCCAUGCGGCCAGUGGGGUCAACAUCAGUAGAUGAGUUUUGCUUUGCAGCUCACAGCUAGCCCAGGUGUGCAGAGAGAUGGUAGAGAUCACCAUUCACACCAGCCUCGGUGACGGAGUGAUACGGAGCUCUUCGGAGGCUUGCCCAAGUCACACAAUCGUAACUGAGAGAAUAAGCUAGAACCUGGCUUCUGAUGCAGGCACCAGCGUUUUUAUUCAAGUCGCGGUAUUUGUACAACCAUUCUUCACAUUUGAGCCAAACUUUGCAGCUUAGUCACAGAACACUUCACCCAUCUCUCAACAGCCCUCUGAGGCAGGUAAGGGAAGCAGACCGCCAUUAAGUGAGCUAGGACUUAACCCUCACAUGCGAUUGGAAACACCUGCCUCAUGCAACACUCCAUCAAUGGCCGUUUGUCCCUUGCUGCAACGACAGUGGAGCCCAUCUACCAUUUGUGUUCAAGCUUGCAUCUGGGAACCCAACAUGUCUUGCUUCGUCACAGACUGAAAGUGAACAUACGUGUGACAUGAGUCCCUGUAGGUGACUCUGGAGGAAAACUUUUGCUGCCCCCACAAUCCCAGGCUAGAAUUCUCUCCUGUAGAUUCCCAUCCAAAUCUCCAGCCUUGGCAGAAAUCUGAUGAGUGAUUUUGUGCAACUUCAGCUCAGCUGAGGACACUUAAGAAAGUCAUGUUUGUGACAAAACCCAGCCGCUGCUUCGACUGGAAAUGAAUUUGGCAGCAAUGGUCCGGAACGGUGGUAUGCUGAAUCCAAGAGCUAAAAGGUCAGUCUGCCUCCAGGACCAGAGCUGCAGCUAAUUGGGGGGGGGGGGGGGGAGCCUUUAUGGCGUGGCUUGGAGUCAGUGUGCAGGAGCAAGACUUGAGGCACAGCAAGCUGUGUGACACUGGACAAGUAAUUUACCUGCUCUGAGCCUCAGUUUCCUUAACUGUACAAGAGAGAAGAAAGUAUUACCUCUUGGGAUAGUUGGGAAUUACAUGAGAAAUUAAUGGAGUAAUGUUCAUGGAACACUUAGCACGGUGUCUGGACUGGGAUGGAACUCAAUAAAUAUUAGCCAUUGUCAUUAUUUUUCCAAUGAUCCUCCCUAUUCAAAAGCCAGGAUCAAAAUGCUUGCAUCAAACUACCCUAAAGCCUUGCAUUCCUACACUAGCAUCAAGAAAUCUGGGUUUGAGGGGGUUGCUGAAAACAGUGGCUCUCAAACGUGACUGUGCCCCAAGAUGCUUGAGCUUCUUAAGACAGAUUGCUGAGCCCCAACCCCUAGACUUUCCAGCUCUGAAGGUCCAGGGCAGGGCCUGACGCUUCUAACAAUUCCAAGGUAAUGCUGAUGCUGUUGGUCCAAAGACUACUCUUUGAGAACCACUGUUUAGAAAACCUUUUACAAUUCUGUGGCAAACCGGGCAAUUCUCUAUUUAUAUCAAUAGAGAACGCAAACAGAAAUUAACACCUAGUCAUGAUCUCAUCUUAGUGUAUUUCUUCCUCAUCAUCUGCCCUCUUGGUAUUUACACACACAUACACACACACACACACGUGCAUGUGCGCACACAUACACACACACGCACACACACUUCCAUGACCAUGAUAAUCAAGUGGUGAAGAAGAGAUUGGGUUGGGUGUUAACAAUUCUUAUUCUCAGUAACCUGCAUGGCCCCCCAGCCUAGGACCAAAUCACAUCAAAAACGGUGCCAUGAAGAUUGGAAGGAAAAACUCAUUUAGGAACAAGGUCGUUUUCGCAUGUCACAAAAUUUUCAAAGUAUAUUCCCUAGCAGAUUAAUAUAGAGCAUUUUACUGAUGUUAACUUCAAAAAUAAAUUUACGAGUGCCAGAAAAAAAACCAAAAGAUAAAUUUUUGAGUGCUGAAAAAAAUCACUCUGUUGUUUAUAGCCAAGCUGCUCACCACUCACAAAUCAAGGGCACAAACCACCGCACGGUUUUUAGAGGUGUGUAACAAAAUGCGACAGGGCCAUGAUUCCAUAUUUAAAUGCGACAAGAUUAAUCCCAAGGCUCCCUGGGUAGAAUUGGUCUCAGCAACAGAAACUGCGUAUGUUGGGUGUUUCCACACGAGAGCUGAAACCUCUAAACUCAUGUAUUCCAGAUGUUCCAGGGGGUCACAAAUGUGUCAUGAAUCUUAAAAGGGUUAUGCAAACACUUUCAAGCUUCAUUCCACUUUAAUUUUUAGAGAAGGAUAUAAUUCUCCCUGGAACCAGAAACGUGGACCUGGCUGUAAAGGUUUCCCGGUUGUGCUUUUAUAGGCGACAAGAUAUCGUGGGAAAUUCACACUGGGCUUGUUGAUGUGGGUGUAUCAGGGGAGACUUCGUGGGAGCCUUGGAGGAGCAGAUAUCUGGACAGACGAUGCUGGCUGGGGUGGGGGAGGGACCACACCCAGAGGAAACUGCCCUUGCAAACACAGAGGAGUGCGAAAGUGCACAGACACCCCACAGCCCUCGAGCGGUUCCGCACAUGAACUGUCAGUACAGAGCCCGAUGCGGGGCUCGGGCUCACAAACCACAAGAUCAUGACCUGAGCUGAGGUCUGACACCCGACCAACGGAGCCACCCAGGCGCCCCACCCUUCUAACCAUUUUUAAAUGGACAGUAGCAUUUAGUGCAUUCACAAUGUUGUGCAACCGUCACCACUAUCUUGUUGCAGAAUGUUUUCAUCACCCCAAAGGGAACCUGAUAUCCAUUAGCUAUCUCUUCCCAUUCUCCUCUCCCUGCCAGCCCCUGGCAAUCACUAGGCUGCCUUCUGUCUCUAUGGAGUUGCCUCUUCUGGACAUGUCUUAAAGGGUUUUAAGCAGGGUAGUGAGUGAUAUGCUCAGAUUUGCAUUAUAGAAAGAUGACUUCUUGCGUAUUGAGGGGGCUGAUUUAGAAGGAAAUGAUACUGAGGCAGGGAGGCAAAUUUGGAGACCAGCUGUCCAGGUGAGAGAGGAUGUGGGUACACGGGAGAAAUGGGGAGGAGGGGAAGGAGAAGAGGAAUGUCGGGCUGGAACCAACAAAAUCAGUGACUAAUCAGACAUAAAGGUAAAGUGAAAGCAUCCCCCAGCACAUACACACAUCACCCCAUUUCAGGCUUCUGUCCCAGCUUUGCAAGGGGAGAGGCUAUUAACCAAGAAAGAAGAAAAAGAGGUGAGUUUGGGAAGCAAGCAAUGUGGGAUAGAUUUAUAAAUCUCUUUUUUCACUACAGGACGAUGCAAACCUGGAAGAGAAUCUUGCUUGUUAUGGUUUCUGAUUUAUACUAGAGUUGUUUUAUUAUUUUUACCUUAUUUCAUAUUUACAAAAUCUUAACCUUUUCGUUUGCAGACCGUAACCAUGAGCAGAAACGGAAUAAAUAGGCCCUGAAAGAAAAAAAUAUACUAAAAACAAAAGGUACUUGGGAAUGAGAAUAAAAAAACAAGCCACAGCUUGUUAUCAAAACCAACAACGAUAACCCUUCCCCUAAAAAAAAAAAAAAAAAAAAAAAAAAAGCAGAGGUCAAAGUUAAGAGCUGCUCCCAAAACACUCCGGGAAAACUUGAGAUUUACCAGUGUAUGUGUCUAGCGUAGCAAUGGAUUAUUGAACACAACGGGGAAAGGUGCUUUAGCUGACCGAAAUGUAGCCAUCACAAUGGAACACAUCCUUGUAUCCAAUACGUAGCUUUGAUGCUAUUGACAGUUCCCUAAGGGCCUCCUAGAUAUACCAUCUCACUUAAUCAGUUACAACAAUAUCAUAAUUUAGGAUUUCCACUUAAAAAAAAAUUUUUUUUAAUGUUUAUUUAUUCUUGAGGUGGAAGGAAGGAGCAGAGAGAGAAGGAGACACAGAAUCCAAAGCAGGCUCCAGGCUCCAAGCUGUCAGCACGGAGCCUGACGCGGGGCUCAAACCCACAAGCCGUGAGAUCAUGACCUGAGCCGAAGUCAGAUGCUUAACCAACUGAGCCACCCAGGCGCCCCAAGAUGUCCACUCUUGACCAUGAUGCAAUAGCAUGUGUCAAACCAACCCCACCCCACAAGAACACCAAAGGCCGAAUUAAAAAGAAAAGAAUGCUGGGGCGCCUGGGUGGCUCAGUCGGUUAAGUUUCCGACUUCGGCUCAGGUCAUGAUCUCACAGUUCGUGGAUUCAAGCCCCGCGUCGGGCUCUGUGCUGACAGCUCAGAGCCUGGAGCCUGUCUUCGGAUUCUGUGUCUCCCUCUCUGUCUCUGUCCCUCCCGUUGUUUCUCUCUCUCUUAAAAAUAAAUAAAACAUUAAAAAAAAAAGUUAAAAAAAAACCCCAAAAACGCUGUUUGAAAAGUAUCAGAAAGCAACGAGGGCCUGAGAGGCCAAGACCAUGGAGAAAAGAGAAUCGCAGAGAAGUGAACCUAACAUUUUGUGCUGCUUUUCUCUCUGAGAAACUCACCAAUGCCUAAGCUUCUCUUGCCAAGAAGCCAAAAAAAAAAAAAAAAAAAAAAAAGUGACAGAUAAAAGGAUGAAAAGCGAAGCAAGGCUUAGGGUGUCUGGGAGACCAAAAAAUAGAAAGAAAGAAAACCCCAAAGAAACAAAAGAUGCAAUUUGAAAUUGCAGGCUUGUCAUGGAGGUGAACAUCACAGGCUUUCUGUUAGACCCAUCAAAGACAAGGUUAGCCCUCCAAAACCUGACCUCUAGCACCCAGUCACCAUGUGAGCCCCUGACUGAAGCCAGAUGAUCCGCCCCUAUACUAACUGGCUUUCAGGGAAAAAAAAAAAAAGCCUUUUUUGAAGAAAGAUAACAUCAUUUUUCAUACAUUUUGUCCAGCAUUCAAGAAAACGUAGUAGGCAUGCCAAAAGAUAAGAUCAAAGGUCCGGAGACCAAGGGAAAAAGCAGACAACAGAAAGAGACCACAGGGGUCCAGAUACUGGAGCUGUCAGGGAUAGAUUUUAAAA